GACGUAGGAUGCAAGCGUUGUCCGGAUUUAUUGGGCGUAAAGCGUUCGUAGGUGGUUUGUUAAGUCUGAUGUUAAAGACUGGGGCUCAACCUCGGAAAUGCAUUGGAUACUGGCAGACUUGAGUGUGGUAGAGGCAAUCGGAAUUCCAGGUGUAGCGGUGAAAUGCGUAGAUAUCUGGAAGAACACCGGUGGCGCAAGCGGAUUGCUGGGCCAUAACUGACACUGAGGAACGAAAGCGAGGGGAGCGAAUGGG
rnacentral:rRNA from 1 species